GAGUAGUACGAGGAAGGUGGGGAUGACGUCAAGUCAUCAUGGCCCUUACGGCCUGGGCUACACACGUGCUACAAUGGUCGGUACAAAGGGUUGCCAAGCCGCGAGGUGGAGCUAAUCCCAUAAAACCGAUCGUAGUCCGGAUCGCAGUCUGCAACUCGACUGCGUGAAGUCGGAAUCGCUAGUAAUCGUGAAUCAGAAUGUCACGGUGAAUACGUUCCCGGGCCUU
rnacentral:rRNA from 1 species